UACGGAGGGAGCUAGCGUUGUUCGGAAUUACUGGGCGUAAAGCGCGCGUAGGCGGCUUUGUAAGUUAGAGGUGAAAGCCCGGAGCUCAACUCCGGAACUGCCUUUAAAACUGCAUCGCUUGAAUCCAGGAGAGGUGAGUGGAAUUCCGAGUGUAGAGGUGAAAUUCGUAGAUAUUAGGAAGAACACCGGUGGCGAAGGCGGCCCACUGGAUCGGUACUGACGCUCAUGUGCGAAAGCGUGGGGAGCAAACAGG
rnacentral:rRNA from 1 species